rnacentral:rRNA from 1 species
GGACUACUGGGGUAUCUAAUCCUGUUUGCUCCCCCAGCUUUCGCGCAUCAGCGUCAGUAGUGGUCCAGUGCGCCGCUUUCGCCGCAGGUGUUCCUCCCGAUCUCUACGCAUUUCACCGCUACACCGGGAAUUCCACGCACCUCUCCCACACUCGAGCAUGGCAGUUUUCCCCGCAGGCUAUGGGUUGAGCCCAUAGAUUUCACGAGAAACUUGCCACACCGCCUACGCGCCCUUUACGCCCAAUAAUUCCGAACAACGCUUGCACCCUCUGUAUUACCGCGGCUGCUGGCAC